rnacentral:rRNA from 1 species
GACAGAGGAUGCAAGCGUUAUCCGGAAUGAUUGGGCGUAAAGCGUCUGUAGGUGGCUUUUUAAGUCCGCCGUCAAAUCCCAGGCUCAACCCUGGACAGGCGGUGGAAACUACCAAGCUGGAGUACGGUAGGGGCAGAGGGAAUUUCCGGUGGAGCGGUGGAAAUGCGUAGAGAUCGGAAAAGAACACCGGUGGCGAAGGCGGCCAAUCUGGACCGCA